rnacentral:rRNA from 1 species
UGAGUUUGAUCCUGGCUCAGGAUGAACGCUAGCGGCAGGCCUAAUACAUGCAAGUCGAACGGUAAGUGUAGUAGCAAUAUUAUACGAGAGUGACGUACGGGUGCGUAACACGUAUGCAACCUACCCUUUACAGGAGGAUAGCUCGGGGAAACUCGAAUUAACCCUCCAUAACAUAUUGGUGUGGCAUCACAUUAAUAUUAAAACUCCGGUGGUAAAGGAUGGGCAUGCGUCUGAUUAGUUAGUUGGUGCGGGUAACGGCCCACCAAGACGAUGAUCAGUAGGGGAACUGAGAGGUUGAUCCCCCACACUGGCACUGAGAUACGGGCCAGACUCCUACGGGAGGCAGCAGUAGGGAAUAUUGGUCAAUGGAUGGAAGUCUGAACCAGCCAUGCCGCGUGCAGGAAGAAGGCCUUCUGGGUUGUAAACUGCUUUUGCCAGGGGAUAAAAAGACCGUGCGCGGUUAAUUGAAGGUACCUGGUGAAUAAGCCACGGCUAACUACGUGCCAGCAGCCGCGGUAAUACGUAGGUGGCAAGCGUUGUCCGGAUUUAUUGGGUUUAAAGGGUGCGUAGGCGGCCCCGUAAGUCAGUGGUGAAAUAUCUCAGCUUAACUGAGAGGGUGCCAUUGAUACUGCGGGGCUUGAGUACAGAUGAGGUAGGCGGAAUUGACGGUGUAGCGGUGAAAUGCAUAGAUAUCGUCAAGAACACCGAUAGCGAAGGCAGCUUACUAAGCUGUAACUGACGCUGAGGCACGAAAGUGUGGGGAUCAAACAGGAUUAGAUACCCUGGUAGUCCACACUGUAAACGUUGAUGACUCGAUGUUGGCGAUACACAGCCAGCGUCCAAGAGCAAUCGUUAAGUCAUCCACCUGGGGAGUACGCCGGCAACGGUGAAACUCAAAGGAAUUGACGGGGUCCGCACAAGCGGUGGAGCAUGUGGUUUAAUUCGAUGAUACGCGAGGAACCUUACCUGGGCUAGAAUGCCCUUGAUGGGUACAGAGAUGUAUCGUUCCGCAAGGACAAGGAGCAAGGUGCUGCAUGGCUGUCGUCAGCUCGUGUCGUGAGAUGUUGGGUUAAGUCCCGCAACGAGCGCAACCCUUGUCAUUAAUUGCCAUCAUUUAGUUGGGCACUUUAAUGAGACUGCCGGUGAUAAACCGGAGGAAGGUGGGGAUGACGUCAAGUCCUCAUGGCCCUUAUGGGUAGGGCUUCACACGUAAUACAAUGGCGCGUACAGAGGGUUGCCAACCCGCGAGGGGGAGCUAAUCUCAGAAAGCGCGUCGUAGUCCGGAUCGGAGUCUGCAACUCGACUCCGUGAAGUUGGAAUCGCUAGUAAUCGCGGAUCAGCAUGCCGCGGUGAAUACGUUCCCGGGUCUUGUACACACCGCCCGUCACACCAUGGGAGUGGGCUUCACCAGAAGCAGGUAGUCUAACCGUAAGGAGGGCGCUUGCCACGGUGAGGUUCAUGACUGGGGUGAAGUCGUAACAAGGUAACC